rnacentral:misc_RNA from 1 species
AACCUAGCACACCUGCGGUGUGUACCUGCGGAAGGAUCAUUAAUGAAUGAAUGUAGAGUUGGUUGUCGCUGGCCUGCUUCAGGCAUGUGCACGCCUUCUCUUUCAUCCACACACCCCUGUGCACUUGUGAGACGGAGUUGUUUUCCCUUUAAACGGGGAUUGCUCUCCGUCUGCUAACAUAUAAAAUCUAAUUUAUUUAAAACUGAAUGUAAUUGAUGUAACGCAUCUAAUACAAACUUU